rnacentral:rRNA from 1 species
UACAGGAGGUGGCAAGCGUUGUUCGGAAUUACUGGGCGUAAAGGGCGCGUAGGCGGCCUUCUAAGUCAGACGUGAAAUCCCCCGGCUUAACCUGGGAACUGCGUCUGAUACUGGGAGGGCUUGAGUAUGGGAGAGGGAUGUAGAAUUCCAGGUGUAGCGGUGAAAUGCGUAGAUAUCUGGAGGAAUACCGGUGGCGAAGGCGGCAUCCUGGACCAUAACUGACGCUGAGGCGCGAAAGCUAGGGGAGCAAACGGG